GAUGAACGCUGGCGGCGUGCCUAAUACAUGCAAGUCGAGCGAACAGACGAGAAGCUUUUUCCCUUGACGUUAGCGGCUGACGGGUGAGUAACAAGUAGAUCACCUACCUAUAAGACUGGGAUAACUUCGUGAAACCGGAGCUACUACUACAUAACAUGACCUACCGCUUGGAUCAACAGUGCAUCACAGUCUUGCUGUCUCUUAUAGAUGGAUCCGCGCGGGAUUAGCUACUUGGUAAGGUCACGGCUAACCAAGGAGACGAUGCGUAGCUGACCUGAGAGGAGGAUCAGCAACACUGGAACUGAGACACGGUCCAGAUUCCUACGGGAGGCAGCAGUGGGGAAUAUUGGACAAGGGGCGCAAGCCUGAUCCAGCCAUACGGGGGGGGUGAAGAAGGCCUUCGGGUUGUAAAGCCCUUUUGUUGGGAAAGAAAAGCAGCAGGUUAAUACCCCGCUGUUCUGACGGUACCCAAAGAAUAAGCACCGGCUAACUUCGG
rnacentral:rRNA from 1 species